rnacentral:rRNA from 1 species
GCAACCUUCUGUACCCAAGAGAUCCCAUCUUGGGGCCUUUUUCGGAGCUCCGCCGGAGGGGGCAUUGAUCACGGAGGGCCUCUACAUCAACUCCAUGGCCCCUCCGAUGAUGUGUGAGUAGUUUACUUCAAACCUUCGGGUCCAUAGCUAGUAGCUAGAUGGCUUCUUCUCUCUCUUUGGAUCUCAAUACAAAGUUCUCCUCGAUUCUCUUGGAGAUCUAUUCGAUGUAA